rnacentral:rRNA from 1 species
UAGAGUUUGAUCCUGGCUCAGAUUGAACGCUGGCGGCAGGCCUAACACAUGCAAGUCGAGCGGAUGAAGGGAGCUUGCUCCCUGAUUUAGCGGCGGACGGGUGAGUAAUGCCUAGGAAUCUGCCUGGUAGUGGGGGAUAACGUCCGGAAACGGGCGCUAAUACCGCAUACGUCCUACGGGAGAAAGCAGGGGACCUUCGGGCCUUGCGCUAAUAGAUGAGCCUAAGUCGGAUUAGCUAGUUGGUGGGGUAAAGGCCUACCAAGGCGACGAUCUGUAGCGGGUCUGAGAGGAUGAUCCGCCACACUGGGACUGAGACACGGCCCAGACUCCUACGGGAGGCAGCAGUGGGGAAUAUUGGACAAUGGGGGGAACCCUGAUCCAGCCAUGCCGCGUGUGUGAAGAAGGCCUUUUGGUUGUAAAGCACUUUAAGCGAGGAGGAGGCUACUAGUAUUAAUACUACUGGAUAGUGGACGUUACUCGCAGAAUAAGCACCGGCUAACUCUGUGCCAGCAGCCGCGGUAAUACAGAGGGUGCGAGCGUUAAUCGGAUUUACUGGGCGUAAAGCGUGCGUAGGCGGCUGAUUAAGUCGGAUGUGAAAUCCCUGAGCUUGACUUAGGAAUUGCAUUCGAUACUGGUCAGCUAGAGUAUGGGAGAGGAUGGUAGAAUUCCAGGUGUAGCGGUGAAAUGCGUAGAGAUCUGGAGGAAUACCGAUGGCGAAGGCAGCCAUCUGGCCUAAUACUGACGCUGAGGUACGAAAGCAUGGGGAGCAAACAGGAUUAGAUACCCUGGUAGUCCAUGCCGUAAACGAUGUCUACUAGCCGUUGGGGCCUUUGAGGCUUUAGUGGCGCAGCUAACGCGAUAAGUAGACCGCCUGGGGAGUACGGUCGCAAGACUAAAACUCAA